GCCUGGCUGGCUCAGUCAGAAGAGCAUGGGACUCCUGAUCUCGCGGUUAUGGGUUCAAGCCCCACGUUGGAUG
rnacentral:tRNA from 1 species